CUGCUUUAUCACAAUACCAUCAACACUGGUAGUAAUUGUGCAGCGAGUGCACAUGAGUUUGUCCCUCUUAAAGCCCAUUGAUCAUAACAAGGUAGCUAUAAGGACAUAUUAAAACCAGGGUUUUUCCAAAGACGGAUCCUACAUCAGCUUCCUUGAUAAUAUGGAAUUUACAUUUAUCAACACAUAUUGUCCCUGAUCUGAAGGUGAUGGUUGGCUCAUUAGCCUAAUGCUCUCAGCCUAAAUUGACUAUUUAAGAC